rnacentral:tRNA from 1 species
GCUCCAGUGGCGCAAUCGGUUAGCGCGCCGUACUUAUAAUGCGGAGGUUGUGAGUUCGAGCCUCACCUGGAGCA